GAGUAGCUGGUAUUACAGGCGUGUGCCACAAAGCCUGGCUAAGUUUUGUAUUUUUAGUAGAGACGGGGUUUCACCAUGUUGGCCAGGUUGGUCUCGAACUCCUGACCUCAAGUGAUCCACUCACUUUGGCCUUUCAACGUGCUGGGAUUACAGGCGAGAGUCACCGCACCCGGACGACUCUGACAUUUUUGAAGAGUCCAGAAUCCUGUUACACCUGGGAUUUAGGCACUUUCAAUCUGAAAAAAUACAUAUCCUUUCAGCACUCUGGACGGACUUGAGAACUGUCCUUACGUGACCUAAAGCUGGAGUAUUUUGAGAUUGGAGAAUUAAGGCCUUCAGUGGGUUGAAUGAGGCCCAACCCACAUUGAAGAGGACCAUCUGCUUUACUCAGUCUCCUGGUUGAAGUGAUAAUCUCAUCUGGACAUACUCAGAAAUGCUGUUUAACCAGCUCUCUGGAAAUCCUGUGGCCCAGUCAAGUUGACACACAAAAUUAACCAUCACACUGCAGAGACACAGUCUAUCCCAAUACCUGUAUUUACUGGGUAACGUGCAUCUCAGCUCACCAGGCUGGUUUGAUUGACUUGGCCCAAAGCUGCCCUUUGAGUGUUGAGCCCCAGCUGACCCCUUUGAUCCUUCACAGCCCCAUCAUUAAAACAAGGACCCUGAAUCAAGUGACUGUAAGAGCCACUCUUGUCCUGUUCUGUCUGUAUCCUGGCUUUGAGUGUUUAUCUAAGCUAAGCCCAAUUGACUGUUGUCAUUCUUUGUCUCUUCCUUGCUCAGACAUCAGUUAGGUAUUUAUUGAACACUCCUGUGUUCACAGCAUCCGGCUCCUGGGAUUAGAGACAGCUCUUGACUCCUGGUUUUGCUCUUUGAAACCUAUUGGACUGCUUUUCUUUUAAGAUACACCCCCCACAUUAUAGGAAUCUAUCCAUUUCUUUGUUCAUUUCUUUAAUUGUGCAUUAUAUCAGUCCGUCAGUCAGUUUUCCUCCUGAAAUAUGCUAAGUAUUGAGAAUUAUAAUAGAUUCUAUUAAGCACCGCUAAUAAAGUACUAUCCUUAUAGUA
ensembl:lncRNA PVT1 Pvt1 oncogene